rnacentral:rRNA from 1 species
GACGAACGCUGGCGGCGUGCUUAACACAUGCAAGUCGAACGAUGAACUUGGAGCUUGCUCCUGGAUUAGUGGCGAACGGGUGAGUAACACGUGAGUAACCUGCCCUUGACUCUGGGAUAAGCCUGGGAAACUGGGUCUAAUACCGGAUAUGACCUUCCAUCGCAUGGUGGUUGGUGGAAAGCUUUUGUGGUUUUGGAUGGACUCGCGGCCUAUCAGCUUGUUGGUGGGGUAAUGGCCUACCAAGGCGACGACGGGUCGCCGGCCAGAGCGGGGGACCGGCCACACGGGGAAUGGGACACGGCCCAGACUCCGACGGGAGGCAGCAGUGGGGAAUAUUGCACAAUGGGCGCAAGCAUGAUGCAGCAACGCCGCGUGCGGGAUGACGGCCUUCGGGUUGUAAACCGCUUUUAGUAGGGAAGAAGCCUCUUGGGGUGACGGUACCUGCAGAAAAAGGACCGGCUAACUACGUGCCAGCAGCCGCAGUAAAAC